rnacentral:misc_RNA from 1 species
GAAAUGCGAUAAGUAAUGUGAAUUGCAGAAUUCAGUGAAUCAUCGAAUCUUUGAACGCACCUUGCGCUCCUUGGUAUUCCUUGGAGCAUGCCUGUUUGAGUAUCAUGAAAUCUUCAAAGUAAAUCUUUUGUUAUCUCAAUUGGUUUCUACUUUGGUAUUGGAGGUCUUUGCAGCUUCACACCUGCUCCUCUUUGUUCAUUAGCUGGAUCUCAGUGUUAUGCUUGGUUCCACUCGGCGUGAUAAGUUAUCUAUCGCUGAGGACACUGUAAAAGGUGGCCAAGGUAAAUGCAGAUGAACCGCUUCUAAUAGUCCAUUGACUUGGACAAUACUUUUAUGAUCUGAUCUCAAAUCAGGUAGGACUACCCGCUGAACUUAAGC